CCUACGGGGGGCAGCAGUGGGGAAUAUUGGACAAUGGGGGCAACCCUGAUCCAGCGAUGGCGCGUGUGUGAAGAAGGCCCUCGGGUUGUAAAGCACUUUCAGUGAGGAAGAACGCCUGGUGGUUAAUACCCAUCAGGAAAGACAACACUCACAGAAGAAGCACCGGCUAACUCCGUGCCAGCAGCCGCGGUAAUACGGAGGGUGCGAGCGUUAAUCGGAAUUACUGGGCGUAAAGCGCGCGUAGGUGGCUUGAUAAGCCGGUUGUGAAAGCCCCGGGCUCAACCUGGGAACGGCAUCCGGAACUGUCAAGCUAGAGUGCAGGAGAGGAAGGUAGAAUUCCCGGUGUAGCGGUGAAAUGAGUAGAGAUCGGGAGGAAUACCAGUGGCGAAGGCGGCCUUCUGGACUGACACUGACACUGAGGUGCGAAAGCGUGGGUAGCAAACAGGAGUAGAUACCCUAGUAGUC
rnacentral:rRNA from 1 species